rnacentral:rRNA from 1 species
AUUGAACGCUGGCGGCAGGCUUAACACAUGCAAGUCGAGCGGAGCGAGGGUGCUUGCACCUUAGCUUAGCGGCGAACGGGUGAGGAAUGCCUGGGAAUCUGCCUAUUAGUGGGGGAUAACGUUCCGAAAGGAACGCUAAUACCGCAUACGUCCUACGGGAGAAAGCAGGGGACCUUCGGGCCUUGCGCUAAUAGAUGAGCCAAGGUCGGAUUAGCUAGUUGGUGGGGUAAAGGCUCACCAAGGCGACGAUCCGUAGCUGGUCUGAGAGGAUGAUCAGCCACACUGGAACUGAGGCACGGUCCAGACUCCUACGGGAGGCAGCAGUGGGGAAUAUUGGACAAUGGGCGAAAGCCUGAUCCAGCCAUGCCGCGUGUGUGAAGAAGGCCUUCGGGUUGUAAAGCACUUUAAGCGGGGAGGAAGUACUUGGGGCUAAUAUCCCUGAGUGUUGACGUUACCCGCAGAAUAAGCACCGGCUAACUCUGUGCCAGCCGCCGCCGUAAGAC